rfam:Triticum aestivum genome assembly, contig: Triticum_aestivum_CS42_TGACv1_scaffold_252316_3DL
GAGGUACUCCCUCUGUUCGGAAUUACUCGUCUAAGAAAUGAAUGUAUCUAGAUGUAUUUUAGUUAUAGAUACAUCCAUUUUUGUGACAAGUAAUUCCAAACGGAGAGAGUACCUU